UACGAAGGGGGCUAGCGUUGUUCGGAAUUACUGGGCGUAAAGCGCGCGCAGGCGGCUAUCCAAGUCAGUGGUGAAAGCCCGGAGCUCAACUCCGGAACUGCCAUUGAAACUGUUUAGCUUGAGGAUGAGAGAGGUGAGUGGAAUUCCCAGUGUAGAGGUGAAAUUCGUAGAUAUUGGGAAGAACACCAGUGGCGAAGGCGCUCUGCUAGGCCGUAACUGACACUGAGGGACGAAAGCUAGGGGAGCGAAUGGG
rnacentral:rRNA from 1 species